AUGCUCCGGCUCCGAGAGUGCGUCUUUUCCCGUCUCCUCCCUCCUUCCUCCACCUCUGCCAUCUCCCCGCUGCUUCGCCUCCUCUCCGCAUCCGCAUCCCCGAACCCCGGUGGCUUCGCUGUCGAGGAGUACCUCGUCGCCACCUGCGGCCUCACCCGGGCCCAAGCCAUCAAGGCCUCCAAGAAGCUCGCCCACCUCAAGACCCCCGACAAGCCGAACGCCGUCCUCGCCUUCCUCUCCGGCCUCGGCCUCUCCGGCGCCGACGUCGCCGCCGUCGUCGCCAAAGACCCGCGGCUACUCUGCGCCAAAGUGGACAAAACCCUGGCCCCUAAGGCCGUCGGGCUCGCCGGCAUAGGUCUCUCGCGUCAUGAGAUCGCCCGCCUCGUCUCCCUCGGCCCCGAGUGCUUCCGCUCCAGACACAUCGUCUCCAAGCUGCAGUACUACCACCCCCUCUUCGGCUCCUUCCACAACUUCCUCCGGGCGUAA
rnacentral:rRNA from 1 species